AAAUGCCAAUAAGUUGCAAGAGCAGCAAAGAAAGGUUGUUACAGAUACUUUACUCAUUGAUCAAUCAGGACAGUCAAAGAUUCAUUCCCCGAAUAAAACAAAUAUGAAUAAUAGAAAUAGUGUUGAUAACAACACAAUUACAAUUGUUAAAGCACCAGUUAGGCGACUGUCAAUGAAUCUUACCAAAAGUUCAAAAGAAGUAAUACAUGGAGGAGAUAAAUCAUUUGUCACAGUGAGGGAGGAGAGUAAAACUAAUUCAGCAAAACUUAAAAGAAGCGUAGGAAAAAA